rnacentral:rRNA from 1 species
AUUGAACGCUGGCGGCAGGCUUAACACAUGCAAGUCGAGCGAGCGGCGGACGGGUGAGUAAUGUAUGGGGAACUGCCUGAUAGAGGGGGAUAACUACUGGAAACGGUAGCUAAUACCGCAUACCAUCAGAUGUGCCCAGAUGGGAUUAGCUAGUAGGGGGGGUAAUGGCUCACCUAGGCGACGAUCCCUAGCUGGUCUGAGAGGAUGACCAGCCACACGGGAACUGAGACACGGGCCAGACUCCUACGGGAGGCAGCAGUGGGGAAUAUGGCACAAUGGGCGCAAGCCUGAUGCAGCCAUGCCGCGUGUGUGAAGAAGGCCGUAGGGUUGUAAAGCACGUUCAGCGAGGAGGCGUUACUCGCAGAAGAAGCACCGGCUAACUCCGUGCCAGCAGCCGCGGUAAUAC